rnacentral:rRNA from 120 species
GAGUGAAAUAGAACCUGAAACCGUGUGCUUACAAGUAGUCAGAGCCCGUUAAUGGGUGAUGGCGUGCCUUUUGUAGAAUGAACCGGCGAGUUACGAUUUGAUGCAAGGUUAAGCAGUAAAUGUGGAGCCGUAGCGAAAGCGAGUCUGAAUAGGGCGUUUAGUAUUUGGUCGUAGACCCGAAACCAGGUGAUCUACCCUUGGUCAGGUUGAAGUUCAGGUAACACUGAAUGGAGGACCGAACCGACUUACGUUGAAAAGUGAGCGGAUGAACUGAGGGUAGCGGAGAAAUUCCAAUCGAACCUGGAGAUAGCUGGUUCUCUCCGAAAUAGCUUUAGGGCUAGCCUCAAGUGAUGAUUAUUGGAGGUAGAGCACUGUUUGGACGAGGGGCCCCUCUCGGGUUACCGAAUUCAGACAAACUCCGAAUGCCAAUUAAUUUAACUUGGGAGUCAGAACAUGGGUGAUAAGGUCCGUGUUCGAAAGGGAAACAGCCCAGACCACCAGCUAAGGUCCCAAAAUAUAUGUUAAGUGGAAAAGGAUGUGGCGUUGCCCAGACAACUAGGAUGUUGGCUUAGAAGCAGCCAUCAUUUAAAGAGUGCGUAAUAGCUCACUAGUCGAGUGACACUGCGCCGAAAAUGUACCGGGGCUAAACAUAUUACCGAAGCUGUGGAUUGUCCUUUGGACAAUGGUAGGAGAGCGUUCUAAGGGCGUUGAAGCAUGAUCGUAAGGACAUGUGGAGCGCUUAGAAGUGAGAAUGCCGGUGUGAGUAGCGAAAGACGGGUGAGAAUCCCGUCCACCGAUUGACUAAGGUUUCCAGAGGAAGGCUCGUCCGCUCUGGGUUAGUCGGGUCCUAAGCUGAGGCCGACAGGCGUAGGCGAUGGAUAACAGGUUGAUAUUCCUGUACCACCUAUAAUCGUUUUAAUCGAUGGGGGGACGCAGUAGGAUAGGCGAAGCGUGCGAUUGGAUUGCACGUCUAAGCAGUAAGGCUGAGUAUUAGGCAAAUCCGGUACUCGUUAAGGCUGAGCUGUGAUGGGGAGAAGACAUUGAGUCUUCGAGUCGUUGAUUUCACACUGCCGAGAAAAGCCUCUAGAUAGAAAAUAGGUGCCCGUACCGCAAACCGACACAGGUAGUCAAGAUGAGAAUUCUAAGGUGAGCGAGCGAACUCUCGUUAAGGAACUCGGCAAAAUGACCCCGUAACUUCGGGAGAAGGGGUGCUCUUUAGGGUUAACGCCCAGAAGAGCCGCAGUGAAUAGGCCCAAGCGACUGUUUAUCAAAAACACAGGUCUCUGCUAAACCGUAAGGUGAUGUAUAGGGGCUGACGCCUGCCCGGUGCUGGAAGGUUAAGAGGAGUGGUUAGCUUCUGCGAAGCUACGAAUCGAAGCCCCAGUAAACGGCGGCCGUAACUAUAACGGUCCUAAGGUAGCGAAAUUCCUUGUCGGGUAAGUUCCGACCCGCACGAAAGGCGUAACGAUUUGGGCACUGUCUCAACGAGAGACUCGGUGAAAUCAUAGUACCUGUGAAGAUGCAGGUUACCCGCGACAGGACGGAAAGACCCCGUGGAGCUUUACUGUAGCCUGAUAUUGAAAUUCGGCACAGCUUGUACAGGAUAGGUAGGAGCCUUUGAAACGUGAGCGCUAGCUUACGUGGAGGCGCUGGUGGGAUACUACCCUAGCUGUGUUGGCUUUCUAACCCGCACCACUUAUCGUGGUGGGAGACAGUGUCA